AAUUUUAUAUGUAAACUAAGUGAUAAGCAAGUAAAAUGUGAUAUUUUAAGGUACAAUAAAAAAAACAGUAUAAAUUAAGGGUAAACAGGCAAGAAAACGGUGUAAUUUCAAGGUACAAUUAUCAAAAAAUGUCUGCAUA